rnacentral:misc_RNA from 1 species
GAUGAAGAACGUAGCGAAAUGCGAUAAGUAAUGCGAAUUGCAGAAUUUCCGUGAGUCAUCGAAUCUUUGAACGCACAUUGCGCCCACUGGUAUUCCGGUGGGCAUGCCUGUUCGAGCGUCAUUAUCCUCCCUCAAACCCCGGGUUUGGUGUUGGACCCAAGUUGUGUGAACAACUGGUCUCAAAGACAAUGACGGCGUCCGUGGGACCCUCGGUGCAACGAGCUUUUAGGAGCACGCAUCGAGUUGCAAGGACCUUCCGGGCCGGUCUCCUUUACCAUUUUACAAGGUUGACCUCGGAUCAGGUAGGAAUACCCGCUGAACUUAAGCAUAGCAAUAAGCGGAGGA